GAAAAGUAUUGGAUUUAUAGUUGACCGCGCGACGACGUUUGAACUGUCCAGUUCAUUUUCAGCAACAGUUCAGUCAGACCAACGGGGGUGUUCAGCUCUCUGUCAAGUUCACUCCUCCUUAAUGGUGCCACUUCACUCUGCUACUGGAUGGUGGAGGGCUAACUGCGAACGGGUGGUCUAUGAAUGCUAUACUGAAUGGAUGGCAGGGAAGCACAACACACGUGAAUUUCUAAAUGAAGAAGAGUUAAUAAAUGCACUUGAUUUUCAAACUGA